rnacentral:tRNA from 1 species
GUGGCUCAGUGGUAGAGUGCUUGCCUCGCAUGCAUGAGGCUCUGGGUUCAAUUCCUCAGC